rnacentral:rRNA from 1 species
GCAGGUCAGCAUACUGCCGUGGAUACGUUCCCGGGCCUUGUACACACCGCCCGUCACACCAUGAGAGUUGGGAAUACCCGAAGCCUGUGAGCUAACAUUAAGAGGCAGCAGUCGAAGGUAGAAUCAAUGAUUGGGGUGAAGUCGUAACAAGGUACC